rnacentral:rRNA from 1 species
CCUACGGGAGACAGCAGUAGGGAAUCUUUCACAAUGGGCGAAAGCCUGAUGGAGCAACGCCGCGUGCAGGAUGAAGGCCUUCGGGUUGUAAACUGCUUUUAUAAGCGAGAAAUAUGAUGGUAACUUAUGAAUAAGGAUCGGCUAACUACGUGCCAGCAGCCGCGGUCAUACGUAGGAUCCGAGCAUUAUCCGGAGUGACUGGGUGUAAAGAGUUGCGUAGGUGGCAUAAUAAGUAGCUAGUGAAAUCUGGUGGCUCAACCAUUCAGAUUAUUGGCUAAACUGUUAAGCUCGAGACCGUUAGGGGUAACUGGAAUUUGUAGUGUAGGAGUGAAAUCCGUAGAUAUUAGAAGGAACACCAAUAGCGUAGGCAGGUUGCUGGGACGGUUCUGACACUAAGGCACGAAAGCGUAGGGAGCAAACGGGAUUAGAUACCCUUGUAGUC